rnacentral:rRNA from 1 species
GAUGAACGCUGGCGGCGUGCUUAACACAUGCAAGUCGAACGAUGAAGCCCAGCUUGCUGGGUGGAUUAGUGGCGAACGGGUGAGUAACACGUGAGUAACCUGCCCUUAACUCUGGGAUAAGCCUGGGAAACUGGGUCUAAUACCGGGUAGGAGCGUCCACCGCAUGGUGGGUGUUGGAAAGAUUUAUCGGUUUUGGAUGGACUCGCGGCCUAUCAGCUUGUUGGUGAGGUAAUGGCUCACCAAGGCGACGACGGGUAGCCGGCCUGAGAGGGUGACCGGCCACACUGGGACUGAGACACGGCCCAGACUCCUACGGGAGGCAGCAGUGGGGGAUAUUGCACAAUGGGCGCAAGCCUGAUGCAGCGACGCCGCGUGAGGGAUGACGGCCUUCGGGUUGUAAACCUCUUUCAGUAGGGAAGAAGCGAAAGUGACGGUACCUGCAGAAGAAGCACCGGCUAACUACGUG